rnacentral:rRNA from 1 species
UACGUAGGGAGCGAGCGUUGUCCGGAUUCAUUGGGCGUAAAGAGCUCGUAGGCGGCUUGGUAAGUCGGAUGUGAAACCUCCAGGCUCAACCUGGAGUCGCCAUCCGAUACUGCCAUGGCUAGAGUCCGGUAGGGGCCCACGGAAUUCCUGGUGUAGCGGUGAAAUGCGCAGAUAUCAGGAGGAACACCGAUGGCGAAGGCAGUGGGCUGGGCCGGCACUGACGCUGAGGCGCGAAAGCUAGGGGAGCAAACAGG